rnacentral:rRNA from 1 species
UACGUAGGUGACAAGCGUUAUCCGGAAUUACUGGGCGUAAAGCGCACGUAGGCGGCUUGGUAUGUCGGGUGUGAAAUCCCCGGGCUCAACCUGGGAACUGCAUCCGAAACUGCCUUGCUCGAGUAUGGGAGAGGGAAGUGGAAUUUCCGGUGUAGCGGUGAAAUGCGUAGAUAUCAGAAGGAACGCCGGUGGCGAAAGCGACGGACUGGACCUCAUCUGACGCUGAGGCGCGAAAGCUAGGGGAGCAAACGGG